GACGAACGCUGGCGGCGUGCUUAACACAUGCAAGUCGCACGGAAAGGCCCUGCUUUUGUGGGGUGCUCGAGUGGCGAACGGGUGAGUAACACGUGAGUAACCUGCCCUUGACUUUGGGAUAACUUCAGGAAACUGGGGCUAAUACCGGAUAGGAGCUCCUGCUGCAUGGUGGGGGUUGGAAAGUUUCGGCGGUUGGGGAUGGACUCGCGGCUUAUCAGCUUGUUGGUGGGGUAGUGGCUUACCAAGGCUUUGACGGGUAGCCGGCCUGAGAGGGUGACCGGCCACAUUGGGACUGCGAUACGGCCCAGACUCCUACGGGAGGCAGCAGUGGGGAAUAUUGCACAAUGGGCGGAAGCCUGAUGCAGCAACGCCGCGUGCGGGAUGACGGCCUUCGGGUUGUAAACCGCUUUCGCCUGUGACGAAGCGUGAGUGACGGUAAUGGGUAAAGAAGCACCGGCUAACUACGUG
rnacentral:rRNA from 1 species